rnacentral:lncRNA from 1 species
CAUAACCAAGGGCAAGGACCAUGAAGCACUUGAAGGGCCCAUGACCAGAGGCAGACUUAAACAAGCCCAACACGUCAUAGAGACAAGGCUGGUCAUUUGUAUAGCUGCCAUUGAUGAUGAUUGAAGGCCCAAGUGGAGAAAGAUGAAGGCCUAGAGGCAGAGGCACUACCAAGACUACUAAUUGUUGCUGAAGGCCCAAACUAACUUGAAGGCCCAAGUUAAAUAAGUUUUUAGUUAUAAUUUAUUUU